AGUGCCAGGUUAAAGAGGGCAUUUUGAUCUCUCUUUACUUCUAAAUCCGCCUUCUGACUAGGUUUCAUAGGUAGUCUUUCGUGUAAUCUAAUUUAGAUAGUGUAGCCCAUCUCUUCCCAUCUUAUAUGCUGCACCUUGACCUGACGUAUUGGCGCUGGGGCAUUUAGCUCACUAAUUGGCGCUCACGAGGUAAGCUGACGACGGAGGUAUACAGGCUGAGUAGCUAAAGAUGGUGAGGUUAAGCGAGGGUUAUCGAUUGUAGGACAGGCUCCUCUAGGUGGAUAUGGGGUACCGUCAAGUCCUUUGGGUUUUAAGCU
rnacentral:rRNA from 1 species